rnacentral:rRNA from 1 species
CGCAUUUACAGGGAAGGAGCAGGCGCGCAAUUACCCAAUCCUGACUCAGGGAGGUAGUGACAAGAAAUAACAAUAAACCGGCUUAUGCCGGUUUAAUUGGAAUGAGUACAAUUUAAACAUCUUAACGAGGAACAAUUGGAGGGCAAGUCUGGUGCCAGCAGCCGCGGUAAUUCCAGCUCCAAUAGCGUAUACUAAAGUUGUUGCAGUUAAAAAGCUCGUAGUUGGAUUUCUGUGGGGACGGAGCGGCCGGCCGCACAUCGCGGUUCGAGCUAGCGCUUUCCCUACAUCCUGCCGCGAACCGUGCUACCAUUAGUUUGGUGGCGCCGGGGAUCGGCUCGAUUACUUUGAGAAAAAUAGAGUGUUCAAAGCAGGCCACAUGCCUUGAAUAAGUUAGCAUGGAAUAAUAACUAAGGACUUCGGUUCUAUUUUGUUGGUGUUCGGGACUGAAGUAAUGAUUGAUAGGGACAGUUGGGGCGGUCUGUAUUCCAAAGCGAGAGGUGAAAUUCUUAGACCUUCGGAAGACGAACAGCUGCGAAAGCGUUCCGCAAGGAUGUUCCCUUUGAUCAAGAACGAAAGUUGGGGGAUCGAAGACGAUCAGAUACCGUCGUAGUCUCAACUAUAAACUAUACCAGCUAGGGAUCGGCCAACGUUAUUUUAUACCGACUUGGUCGGCACCUUAUGAGAAAUCAAAGCAUCUGGGUUCCGGGGGGAGUAUGGUCGCAAGGCUGAAACUUAAAGGAAUUGACGGAAGGGCACCACCAGCCGUGGAGCCUGUGGCUUAAUUUGACUCAACACGGGAAAACUUACCAGGUCCAGACAUAGUAAGGAUUGACAGAUUGAUAGCUCUUUCUUGAUUCUGUGGGUGGUGGUGCAUGGCCGUUCUUAGUUGGUGGAGUGAUUUGUCUGGUUAAUUCCGUUAACGAACGAGACCCCAGCCUGCUAAAUAGCGCGCGUGAGCUUUGCUCGCGGCGAGCUUCUUAGAGGGACUAUGAUGCGCGAUAGCACAUGGAAGUUUGGGGCAAUAACAGGUCUGUGAUGCCCUUAGAUGUUCUGGGCCGCACACGGGCUACACUGGCGCCUGCAACGAGCAUAUCAGUUGGCCCGAGAGGGUCUUGGCUAAUCUUUUGAACCGGCGCCGUGCUUGGGAUUGACCUUUGCAAUUGUUGGUCAUGCAACGAGGAAUGCCUUGUAAACGCGAGUCAUCAGCUCGCAUUGAAUACGUCCCUGCCCUUUGUACACACCGCCCGUCGUUCCUACCGAUGAAUGUUCCGAUGAAAUUUUCGGAGAGCACCUGUGAACUUGGCUCUGCCUUGCGAACGGGAGGCUCAAAGUCACUAAAAUCUAAACCUUAAAAGG